AAUACACUUGUAAAGAUCUUACAGAAGUAGAUUUUGCUGAAGCAAAGGGAGGGGAUGAGGCUGAAAUCCUAUUUGGAAGACAGGUGAAAACUGUCAUCAAUCUGUUUCAGUAAUAUGAUUAUUUGAAUGAGUAUCAGGUGGGACUUCCCCAUAAAGAAAAAAAAAAAAAAAGGAAACCCAGGGUAAAAAGAGCUGAAAUUAUAGGAGAAGGAAGAAAGGGGGUGAUGGAGAUAGGGGCUGUGGCACUGGCAAUACAGCUGCUUUUAGGGACUACAAGAAGGAGUGAAAAAUACCACCAAGGGAAUCCAGCCAGGUGGUUAUAAAGUAUGAUAAAAUAGGAUUUAGGGGAACAGCUUGCAGCAUGCCAUGCUGGGAUACAGGAUCUUGUGUUGUCUUGUGAUUGUGAGCCUGGGUCUCCGUUACGAUUGUGCUGCUAUGAGUGCCAGCACUGUGCCUGGAAAGUGGAUCAGCUGAGCCUUGAAUGCUACCUGCUGCUUUUCCCAGUGAGUCUAAAGCCAGCCUACCUCUGUGGAGCUUCACCACUGAGCUCAUACCCAGUACACCGCAUUCAACAUCUCUCAGCCGAAAUCCUCCUAGUCAAGGCAAACUCAAUCAUCUGACAGAGGUCACGAAGCAAACGAGGAAUCGUCCCAACGAUACCAACACAAGGCAUUAAAAGGGAUCGAGAGUUAGUUGAGUAAGUCUGCGAAACAAUUUGCAUUUCAAAUCUCAGGCAAGCAGCUGUGUAAUUUCUGCCUGUAGAUUCACCGCUGCGAUGUUCAUUAUCUGAUUAUCACUACCUACCAACCUUCCAAGCACUAAUGCACAUUGUCUUCUUGGCUCUUGAGUUACUGACAUGUGUCUGACACUGAAUCUGCGAGUAAUUGCUAUGGCUCCCCUCAAUGAAGCAUCUCUGAGGACGCUCUUGGAAAUAAAAUGUUCCUUCUCAAGCCACUAUUUGCUUACUCAAUCCCUAUCUUAUUAAAUAAUUAUCAAGUAAAAAUGUUAAUUUGAAAUAUGCGUGUCACGCUUGGGGAACAAAAGAACUGGAGAUGACAAGAUUCUCAGUGGAUUAAUGCUGAAGUAUUUCUUUCCUCCAUCAUGCUGUCUUCCAGGCUCCUGCUAUGACCUAACCAAAACGUGUGCAUGAUCCAACUCAAUGCUACUUUGAGAUUUCUGUCCUGAGUUCAUAGUGCUACAAAUGUUGUGGGUCAUAUAUCUUUAUUUAACAACCAUAAGCUCAACCAUAAUAUCCUCUUCUUUCUUUCCACUCUUUAUUUCUCAAGCAGUGUCAAGACACUUUAACUUUCCCUGAAAGUACUAAUAGAAGGAAAACACUAGGUUGUAACCAACUAAAUUCUGCUUGUCUUGGGCUGAUUUCUGGGAUCAUUCUUUCAACAGCAAGAAACUGAGUUUGUUUUGCCCACAUCUUCCCUUUCGUGACCUAAAGAAUUGUCAGUUUUCCACCUAUAAUAUAAUAGAAUCCUCUUAAAGUGUUCUGUGCUACCAAGAUGAUCCACUAUACUUCUGCGCUCAAAGCAGCUAAUUGAAGAAGAAAAAUAAGUAAAGGCUGAAACCAGGCACCCAUUUUUGCACUGUACCUUUAUAUACCUUCCCCACUCCAUUAAAGAACAGAGCUUCCAACAAGUUUGUUUCAACUCUUGUAAAAGAAACAAGGGGGUAACUGGUCCUCUGAGUCUUGCUUGAAGGAACUGGAUUGUGCUAUGCCUGCAAGUGUUGUUCACAGUAGUAAAUCUAAGCUUUCUGGAUAGCUUUUUCUCAUAGUACAAAAUACACAUUUCUGUUGUUUAAAAUAUAUCUCGUAUGUAAUCUCACUUCAAUUCUCAAUGUUUAUAAUGAACUGUAAAUAUUUAUAGCAGUGUGAUUAUAGUGAAAUUACUUGAGACUUACACGGCCAUAAGCAAGACCAUAAUCUGAUCCACUGUCCCUUCAGCAAAGGAUUUUAUAAGGUGGGGAUCAAAUUUGUAGAUCUCUAUUCAGAGGUAACAGAAACAGACAAACAAAUAAGAAAUCAUCUUACUGCAGUCAGAUUUUGGCUCGAGAUUUAUGUGAAAUAUAUUCUUCUUCACCUUAAAAUAAAUGUCCUUUCAUUCACGGUGAGUAGUUUGCUAUAGUUUCAGUUCAUUUUCCUUUCUCAGAGCUCUAUGGCACUUGCACUGUUCACCCUUUAUUUUCACAGUCGCAGCUUGAAGAAAUUAAAUAUUGGAAUAUAGUAGAAAUGGAGGAGGCUCUGUUUCUCAUGUAAUCUGUACUUGGGAAGAGCUGUGGCUGAUGUUAAAUAUGUUCCUCCUAGAGUGGGCCUUUUUUGUUCUCUGGCAAAUCUAUUUUCUUCCGUCUCUAGGAGUAAGCACUUAUAUAAACCAAAACAAAUCCUGUGUUUCUGUAUCUUAUCAGCAUUUGUAAAUGGUAGAGAACACAUG